rnacentral:ncRNA from 1 species
AGGCGUCAAAGGUAAACCAUGUGAAAACAUGGGACACAAAGCUUCGGGCCUUAGGUGGGGAAGAUGUGGGGUCAUCCUCACGAUGGCAGCCGGGCUGCCGAA